AUUGAACGCUGGCGGCAUGCCUUACACAUGCAAGUCGAACGGCAGCACGGGUGCUUGCACCUGGUGGCGAGUGGCGAACGGGUGAGUAAUAUAUCGGAACGUACCUUAUCGUGGGGGAUAACGCAGCGAAAGCUGUGCUAAUACCGCAUAAGCCCUAAGGGGGAAAGCAGGGGACCGUAAGGCCUUGCGCGAUUAGAGCGGCCGAUACCUGAUUAGCUAGUUGGUGAGGUAAAGGCUCACCAAGGCAACGAUCAGUAGCUGGUCUGAGAGGACGAUUAGCCACACUGGGACUGGGAGACGGCCCAGACUCCUACGGGAGGCAGCAGUGGGGAAUUUUGGACAAUGGGGACAACCCUGAUCCAGCAAUGCCGCGUGAGUGAAGAAGGCCUUCGGGUUGUAAAGCUCUUUUGUCAGGGAAGAAACAGCAGCUCUAAUACAGUAUGCGAAUGACGGUACCUGAAGAAUAAGCACCGGCUAACUACGUGCCAGCCGCCGCCGUAA
rnacentral:rRNA from 1 species